rnacentral:rRNA from 1 species
UUGGUCAAUUAGAGGAAGUAAAAGUCGUAACAAGGUUUCCGUAGGUGAACCUGCGGAAGGAUCAUUAUCGUAUAACGCGAGGCGCGAGGGCUGUCGCUGACCCUUUCGAGGGGUCGUGCACGCCCUGGGCGUCCUCACAAAGCCCAUCUCACCCUUUGUGCAUCACCGCGUGAGCCUCUCAACGAAUCUGCUCGAUUUCAAAAAGGGGGCUUGCGUUUUUAACACACAGACUCGUGCGGUUUAGAAUGGAUUACAUUUUUGCGAUCACACGCAAUCUUAUACAACUUUCAACAACGGAUCUCUUGGCUCUCGCAUCGAUGAAGAACGCAGCGAAAUGCGAUACGUAAUGUGAAUUGCAGAAUUCAGUGAAUCAUCGAAUCUUUGAACGCACCUUGCGCCCCUUGGUAUUCCGAGGGGCACACCCGUUUGAGUGUCGUGAAAUCCUCAACCUUCUCCGUUUCUUUGAAUCGGGGGAAGGCUUGGACUCUGGAGGCUUUUGCUGGCUUCUUUUCCUUGAAGCCAGCUCCUCUUAAACGAAUUAGCUGGGUCCGCUUUGCCGAUCCUCGACGUGAUAAGCCAUUUCUACGUCCAGAGAGGCAGAGAGAAACCUGCUCCCAAUCGUCUCGCAUGGCACUGAACCCUUUUGACCUCAAAUCGGGUGAGACUACCCGCUGAACUUAAGCAUAUC